rnacentral:tRNA from 1 species
GUCCAGUUAGUUCAGUUGGUAAAGCAUGAGACUCAAUCUCGGGGUUGUGGGUUCAAGUUCUGCAUUGGGCA